rnacentral:tRNA from 1 species
UAAAAAGCGUGAUAUUGAAGAUAUCAAUAUAAUAAUUUUAUUUUAAAAUAAUAAAAUUUUAUUUA